rnacentral:rRNA from 1 species
UGGGGAAUAUUGCACAAUGGAGGGAACUCUGAUGCAGCGACGCCGCGUGAGUGAUGAAGGAAUUCGUUUCGUAAAACUCUGUUCUAUGGGAAGAAAAGGACUGUACCAUAGGAGAAAGCUCCGGCUAAAUACGUGCCAGCAGCCGCGGUAAUACGUAGGGAGCGAGCGUUGUCCGGAAUUAUUGGGCGUAAAGGGUGCGCAGGCGGCUUUACAAGUUGGAUGUGAAAUAUUGUGGCUCAACCACAAACGUGCAUCCAAAACUGCAAAGCUUGAGUUAAGGAGAGGUAAGUGGAAUUCCUGGUGUGGCGGUGGAAUGCGUAGAUAUCAGGAGGAAUACCGGUGGCGAAGGCGACUUACUGGACUUAAACUGACGCUCAGGCACGAAAGCGUGGGGAGCAAACAGG